rnacentral:rRNA from 1 species
UACGUAGGGUGCGAGCGUUAAUCGGAAUUACUGGGCGUAAAGCGUGCGCAGGCGGUUCGUUGUGUCGGCGGUGAAAGCCCCGGGCUCAACCUGGGAAUGGCCGUUGAAACUGGCGAACUGGAGUGUGGCAGAGGGGGGUGGAAUUCCGCGUGUAGCAGUGAAAUGCGUAGAGAUGCGGAGGAACACCGAUGGCGAAGGCAGCCCCCUGGGCUGUAACUGACGCUGAGGAGCGAAAGCAUGGGGAGCGAACAGG